CCUAGAGCAUUCUCGAAGGGGUUUUAGGGUGAGAAUUCAGAAAGUAAUUGCACUUACUUGAGGAACAAGUCAAUGACUAAAGGACUAAUCUGAAAAUAAAUAAGGGACUGAAUUAUAAACAGAAAUUAAGGGGCUGCCCUCAUCUUUGUCUAUAAAAGGCAUGCCUCUUUGCCUUAACAAAGAGGUGGCAACCAAAAAAAAUUCCCCCAAAACUCUCCCUAAUCUCAGAUCUAAUUUUGAAAUUUAAGCAUUCAAAACCCCCAAAAAAAGAUAGAAAACCUCUAGAAAAACCAAAAAUAAUCAGGAAGUAUUGUUCUAAUGAAAAAUUAACAAGUUAGUUCCGGGAUUGGUGCUGGGUCUACUUGAGUUUUGCAAGUGUAUUUGGUUCACUAUUGGUUUUAAUCAUCUCUAACUGAUUCCUGGGCUAAUUGAAUACUGAUUUUGUUGUUGUGGUUUGCUGUAAAAACUGCUGCUGAUAUUCUCUUCUUCUUCUUACAUUUCAUAUCCAGCCUGAAGUUAAGGGUGAAAAAGGACAUGGUGCCAAACAAUGACCACUUGCAGAUCCAUUCGUGUUUCUUGACUGGAAUAUAGUAGUGACCAAUAGCAGCAGAAGAAAGAAGAAAAAGAAGAA